rnacentral:rRNA from 1 species
GUCUUUUUGAAUAAUAUUUAUUUAAAGUCUAAUCUGCUCACUGAAUUAAAAUUUAAAGAGCCGCAGUAUUUUAACUGUGCAAAGGUAGCAUAAUAAUUUGUUUUUUAAUUGAAAACUAGAAUGAAUGAUUGAACGAAAUAUAUACUGUCUCAAUUUUAAUUUAAUAUAAAUUAAUUUUUUAGUUAAAAAGCUAAAAUUGAUUUAAAAGACGAGAAGACCCUAUAGAUUUUUAUAUAAUUAUCAAUUAAUUUAUAUAUAUAUAAAUUUAUUUAUAUUUAUUGAUAAUUGUAUUUUAUUGGGGUAAUAAAAAAAUAAAAAAAACUUUUAUUAAAUAAAAACAUAAAUUAAUGAAAAUUUGAUCCAAAUUUAAUGAUUAAAAGAUUAAAUUACCUUAGGGAUAACAGCGUAAUUUUAAUUUUAAGUUCUUAUUGAAAUUAAAGAUUGCGACCUCGAUGUUGGAUUAAGAAAAAUUUUAAAAGUAGAUUUUUAAAUUUUAGGUCUGUUCGACCUUUAAAAUCUU